rnacentral:rRNA from 1 species
GCUUAUGACCAUUCCAGAUUGAAUAUACCCGAUCUCGUCUGAUCUCGGAAGUCAAGCAAUCUCGGGCUUGGUUAGUACUUGGAGGGGUGACCGCUUGGGAAUACCAAGUGUGAUAAGCA